CACAUUUUAGUAAAACCGUAAUUUUUUCAAACUUUCAUACACCUCUCUUAUUUAUAAUUUACCGCUCAAAUGUCUGGACGAGAAGGAGGUAAAAAAAAACCUUUAAAACAACCCAAAAAAGAAUCUAAGGAUAUGGAUGAACAAGAUAAAGCCUUUCAAGAUAAGAAAAAGCAAGAGGAAAAAUUAUUGAAAGAAGCAGCAGUUAAAGCUUCCCAGAAGGGACCAUUAGUUGGCGGUGGAAUAAAAAAAUCUGGGAAAAAAUAGUGUAUAAAUAUCUAUUUAACAUUAAUGCUAUUGGUAUGCAUGCAAAAUAUAUUGUAUAAUACCUUUUAUAAAUCAUUUAAAUAUAUAUUGCUAUGAAAAAUUUGUAAUUUCCAUGAAUACAACAUUUACUUUUAAACUGUUUUGAUU